GUGAUAUUUUUUAACAGCUGCGGUGUUAUAACUGUACUAAGGUAGCAUAAUAAUUUGCCUUAUAAAUUAGGGCUAGAAUGAAUGGUUUGACGAGAGUUAUACUGUCUCUAUUUUAAUUGUUAGAAGUUAAUUUUUAUAGUGAAAAAGCUUGGAUGGUUUAAAGGGACGAGAAGACCCUGUUGAGCUUAAUAUAUAUAUAUAUAUAUAUAUAUAUAUAUAUAUUUGGUUGGGGUGAUCAAGGAAUAAAAUGUAAAUAGUUUAACUUCCUUAAAAAUUUUUUUUUGUUAGGAUAAUAAACCAAUUUAUUGCUUUAAUGAUAAGUUACCAUAGGGAUAACAGCGUAAUUUUUUUAGAGAGUUCUUAUUGAAAAAAAAGAUUGCGACCUCGAUGUUGGAUUAAAAUAACCAUUAGGUGUAGAU
rnacentral:rRNA from 1 species